UGGGGAAUUUUGCACAAUGGGGGAAACCCUGAUGCAGCGACGCCGCGUGAUUUAGAAGGCCUUUGGGUUGUAAAAAUCUUUUUUACGGGAUGAAAAUGACAGUACCGUAAGAAUAAGGUCCGGCUAAAUACGUGCCAGCAGCCGCGGUAAUACGUAUGGACCGAGCGUUGUCCGGAAUCAUUGGGCGUAAAGGGUACGUAGGCGGCCUAGUAAGUUAGAAGUGAAAUAAUAUAGCUCAACUAUAUAAAGCUUUUAAAACUGCUAGGCUUGAGAGAUGGAAGGGAAAGUGGAAUUCCUAGUGUAGCGGUGAAAUGCGCAGAUAUUAGGAAGAAUACCGGUGGCGAAGGCGACUUUCUGGUCAUCAUCUGACGCUGAGGUACGAAAGCGUGGGUAGCGAACAGG
rnacentral:rRNA from 1 species